AAGGUCUUGUGGAUUGUAAACCUCUUUUGUUAGGGAAGAUAAUGACGGUACCUAACGAAUAAGCAUCGGCUAACUCCGUGCCAGCAGCCGCGGUAAGACGGAGGAUGCAAGCGUUAUCCGGAAUUAUUGGGCGUAAAGCGUACGUAGGCGGUUUUAUAAGUCUGUUGUCAAAGCCCGAGGCUUAACCUUGGAAAGGCAAUGGAAACUGUAAGACUAAAGAGAGAUAGGGGCAGGAGGAAUUCCAGGUGUAGCGGUGAAAUGCGUAGAUAUCUGGAAGAACACCAGUGGCGAAAGCGUCCUGCUGGAUCUCAACUGACGCUGAAGUACGAAAGCUAGGGGAGCGAAUGGGAUUAGAUACCCCAGNUAGUCAA
rnacentral:rRNA from 1 species